rfam:Camelus ferus unplaced genomic scaffold scaffold978, whole genome shotgun sequence.
GGUGGUAUAGCUCAGUGGUAGAGCGCAUGAUUAACACGCAUGAGGUCCUGGGUUCAAUCCCCAGUACCUCCU